rnacentral:rRNA from 1 species
GGAAGGUCCGGGCGUUAUCCGGAUUUAUUGGGUUUAAAGGGAGCGUAGGCUGGUUUUCAAGUCAGCUGUGAAAGUUCGCGGCUCAACCGCGGAAUUGCAGUUGAAACUGGAAGCCUUGAGUGCACACAGGGAUGCCGGAAUUCAUGGUGUAGCGGUGAAAUGCUUAGAUAUCAUGAAGAACUCCGAUCGCGAAGGCAAGUGUCCGGGGUGCGACUGACGCUGAGGCUCGAAAGUGCGGGUAUCAAA